rnacentral:rRNA from 1 species
GUGGGGAAUAUUGGACAAUGGGCGAAAGCCUGAUCCAGCCAUGCCGCGUGUGUGAAGAAGGUCUUCGGAUUGUAAAGCACUUUUGUUGGGAAAGAAAUCCUGUCGGCUAAUACCCGGCGGGGAUGACGGUACCCAAAGAAUAAGCACCGGCUAACUUCGUGCCAGCAGCCGCGGUAAUACGAAGGGUGCAAGCGUUACUCGGAAUUACUGGGCGUAAAGCGUGCGUAGGUGGUUCGUUAAGUCAGAUGUGAAAGCCCCGGGCUCAACCUGGGAAUUGCAUUUGAUACUGGCGGACUAGAGUGCGGUAGAGGAGAGUGGAAUUCCCGGUGUAGCAGUGAAAUGCGUAGAGAUCGGGAGGAACAUCAGUUGCGAAGGCGGCUCUCUGGACCAGCACUGACACUGAGGCACGAAAGCGUGGGGAGCAAACAGGAUUAGAUACCCUGGUAGUCC